rnacentral:rRNA from 1 species
CCUUCGAUGGAUAGGGGUUCUGAGAGGAAGGUCCCCCACAUUGGAACUGAGACACGGUCCAAACUCCUACGGGAGGCAGCAGUGAGGAAUAUUGGUCAAUGGACGAGAGUCUGAACCAGCCAAGUAGCGUGAAGGAUGACUGCCCUAUGGGUUGUAAACUUCUUUUAUACGGGAAUAAAGUGAGGCACGCGUGCCUUUUUGUAUGUACCGUAUGAAUAAGGAUCGGCUAACUCCGUGCCAGCAGCCGCGGUAAUACGGAGGAUCCGAGCGUUAUCCGGAUUUAUUGGGUUUAAAGGGAGCGUAGGCGGACGCUUAAGUCAGUUGUGAAAGUUUGCGGCUCAACCGUAAAAUUGCAGUUGAUACUGGGUGUCUUGAGUACAGUAGAGGCAGGCGGAAUUCGUGGUGUAGCGGUGAAAUGCUUAGAUAUCACGAAGAACUCCGAUUGCGAAGGCAGCCUGCUGGACUGUAACUGACGCUGAUGCUCGAAAGUGUGGGUAUCAAACAGGAUUAGAUACCCUGGUAGUCCACACAGUAAACGAUGAAUACUCGCUGUUUGCGAUAUACAGUAAGCGGCCAAGCGAAAGCGUUAAGUAUU